rnacentral:rRNA from 1 species
UACAUGUGGGGCAAGCGUUGUUCGGAAUCACUGGGCGUAAAGGGUGCGUAGGCGGGUCUUUAAGUCAGGGGGGAAAUCCUGGAGCUCAACUCCAGAACUGCCUUUGAUACUGAAGAUCUUGAGUCCGGGAGAGGUGAGUGGAACUGCGAGUGUAGAGGUGAAAUUCGUAGAUAUUCGCAAGAACACCAGUGGCGAAGGCGGCUCACUGGCCCGGUACUGACGCUGAGGCACGAAAGCGUGGGGAGCAAACAGG